GAUGAACGCUGGCGGCGUGCCUAAUACAUGCAAGUCGAACGCUGAAGGAGGAGCUUGCUCUUCUGGAUGAGUUGCGAACGGGUGAGUAACGCGUAGGUAACCUGCCUGGUAGCGGGGGAUAACUAUUGGAAACGAUAGCUAAUACCGCAUGACAACAGUUAUUGCAUGAUAACUGUUUAAAAGGGGCAACUGCUCCACUACCAGAUGGCGCUGCGUUGUAUUAGCUAGUUGGUGAGGUAACGGCUCACCAAGGCGACGAUACAUAGCCGACCUGAGAGGGGGAUCGGCCACACUGGGACUGAGACACGGCCCAGACUCCUACGGGAGGCAGCAGUAGGGAAUCUGCGGCAAUGGACGGAAGUCUGACCGAGCAACGCCGCGUGAGUGAAGAAGGUGUUCGGAUCGUAAAGCUCUGUUGUAAGAGAAGAACGAGUGUGAGAGUGGAAAGUGCACACUGUGACGGUAUCUUACCAGAAAGGGACGGCUAACUACGUG
rnacentral:rRNA from 1 species